rnacentral:rRNA from 1 species
UACGUAGGGUGCGAGCGUUGUCCGGAAUUAUUGGGCGUAAAGAGCUCGUAGGCGGUUUGUCGCGUCUGCUGUGAAAUCCCGAGGCUCAACCUCGGGUCUGCAGUGGGUACGGGCAGACUGGAGUGCGGUAGGGGAGAAUGGAAUUCCUGGUGUAGCGGUGGAAUGCGCAGAUAUCAGGAGGAACACCGAUGGCGAAGGCAGUUCUCUGGGCCGUAGCUGACGCUGAGGAGCGAAAGCGUGGGGAGCGAACAGG